AGGGAUCAUUACAGAGUUGCAAAACUCCCACAAACCAUCGCGAAUCUUACCCGUACGGUUGCCUCGGCGCUGGCGGUCCGGAAAGGCCCUCGGGUCCUCCCGGAUCCUCGGGUCUCCCGCUCGCGGGAGGCUGCCCGCCGGAGUGCCGAAACUAAACUCUUGAUAUUUUAUGUCUCUCUGAGUAAACUUUUAAAUAAGUCAAAACUUUCAACAACGGAUCUCUUGGUUCUGGCAUCGAUGAAGAACGCAGCGAAAUGCGAUAAGUAAUGUGAAUUGCAGAAUUCAGUGAAUCAUCGAAUCUUUGAACGCACAUUGCGCUCGCCAGUAUUCUGGCGAGCAUGCCUGUUCGAGCGUCAUUUCAACCAUCAAGCUCUGCUUGCGUUGGGGAUCCGCGGCUGCCCGCGGUCCCUCAAAAUCAGUGGCGGGCUCGCUAGUCACACCGAGCGUAGUAACUCUACAUCGCUAUGGUCGUGCGGCGGGUUCUUGCCGUAAAACCCCCCAUUUCUAAGGUUGACCUCGGAUCAGGUAGGAAUACCCGCUGAACUAAGC
rnacentral:rRNA from 1 species